UCCAGGGUAACCUAGUGGACAUGGCAUCUGCCCGGUAAGCGGAACACUGUGGGUUCGAUUCCCAUCCCUGGAU
rnacentral:tRNA from 1 species